UACGUAGGUGGCAAGCGUUGUCCGGAUUUACUGGGCGUAAAGAGCGCGCAGGCGGUCGAGUAAGUCGAAUGUGAAAGCCCCCGGCUUAACUGGGGAGGGUCAUUCGAUACUGUUCGACUUGAAGGCAGGAGAGGGCAGCAGAAUUCCCGGUGUAGUGGUGAAAUGCGCAGAUAUCAGGAGGAACACCGGUGGCGAAGGCGGCUAACUGGCCCAACAUUGACGCUGAGACCCGAAAGCAUGGGGAUCAAACAGG
rnacentral:rRNA from 1 species